CGUAAAUUUUUUGUGGAAAACAUGUACAUAUAGAAACUUUAGUGUGCACCCUAUCGCCUUUUACUUUGAAUUUUAGAGUUUUUAAACUUUCUUGUAUGCUCCAACGAAUGUGCAACAUGGGAAGACCCAGGUGAACACCCCAAACAGUUUUUAAUGCAUUUGUUGUUAGUUUUCCAUCUGGGGAAUUGGAAAAAACAAUGUAAAGUUCUGAAUAUUGCGUUCUACACACCAACUUAAUAAUCUUUACAUUUUUCCUGAGAGAGUGAACAUUUCAUCUACGCUAUUUAGUGAACAGAUACAACUGACCAACAUGGUCUCAUGUUUUUUUUUUCCCCACACAGAAUGGCAGUAAAAGAUGCCGCUAAAAGACUC